GGGCCUGUAGUUUAAUGGCAGAAUAGAGGUCUCCAAAACCUUUGAUGGAGGUUCGAUUCCUCCCGGGCCUG
rnacentral:tRNA from 1 species